GUCCACGCCGUAAACGAUGGGUACUAGGCGUCGGGGGAGCGACCCCUUCGGUGCCGUCGUUAACACAGUAAGUACCCCGCCUGGGGAGUACGGCCGCAAGGCUGAAACUCAAAGGAAUUGACGGGGGCCCGCACAAGCGGUGGAGCAUGUGGUUUAAUUCGAAGCAACGCGAAGAACCUUACCUGGGUUAAAUCCACUCAAACCUGGCAGAGAUGCCGGGGUGCCUUUCGGGGAAUGAGUGAGAAGGUGCUGCAUGGCUGUCGU
rnacentral:rRNA from 1 species